rnacentral:rRNA from 1 species
CCAUGGCUCAGAUUGAACGCUGGCGGCAGGCCUAACACAUGCAAGUCGAGCGGAUGACAGGAGCUUGCUCCUGAAUUCAGCGGCGGACGGGUGAGUAAUGCCUAGGAAUCUGCCUGGUAGUGGGGGACAACGUUUCGAAAGGAACGCUAAUACCGCAUACGUCCUACGGGAGAAAGCAGGGGACCUUCGGGCCUUGCGCUAUCAGAUGAGCCUAGGUCGGAUUAGCUAGUUGGUGAGGUAAUGGCUCACCAAGGCGACGAUCCGUAACUGGUCUGAGAGGAUGAUCAGUCACACUGGAACUGAGACACGGUCCAGACUCCUACGGGAGGCAGCAGUGGGGAAUAUUGGACAAUGGGCGAAAGCCUGAUCCAGCCAUGCCGCGUGUGUGAAGAAGGUCUUCGGAUUGUAAAGCACUUUAAGUUGGGAGGAAGGGCAGUAACUUAAUACGUUGCUGUCUUGACGUUACCGACAGAAUAAGCACCGGCU